CAGUGGAGGAAGGUUCCACCCAGAUAGUAGUCGAUUGGUCUGGUAGCUGACGAGCGGCUCGGUCGGGUAACUGGCCGGGUCGAAACCUCGUGACAGAGGCCGCCUUGAGCGGUUGAGCAAUCCGAUGGGCCGUAACGUGA
rfam:Mesorhizobium sp. L48C026A00 scaffold0022, whole genome shotgun sequence.